CUGGACCCAGAGGACAACCUGGGACCGGGGAGAGAGAAAAACACGACGGCUGCUCAGUGCGACACAAGGGAGCGUGGAUAUCGAUCUGCUUUUCCCCUGACAUCAAUCUCACUUGGAAGAGAUGAACAAGAUUAAAGUGAGAUGGGCAUCACAUCCAGGAAGGGAGGUGAUGCUGAUGACCUGGGUAACGCUGCCAAAUCUACGAGGUAGAGAGUUUUCUCAGGUGUUUCUGACCCACGGAGGCUGGAUUUUUAUUAAAACAGGAUGAAGCCGGCUCAUUCACAGUGGCUGUUUGUAUGACACCAGGGACAACAUGCACAUAGUAAAGCUCCAUCUUUUCUCGAUGAUACAAGACCUCUGCGGAAAGAGGGCACACACUCACCUCCUCACCCGUCAGCACGGAUCUAAUGAUGACAGACACCCACGUCCGCUGCGGUGUCAGGCCGGGCUACAGUGGCUACAGUUUCCUGCCUCCAGACUGACUUCCUGCAUCUUCAGUUCAUUUCAGAUGUGGGAGUUUCUCUCCGCAAAAAUUGUAUUUUCUUUGUGUUGCAUGUGCGAUAAUCGAGGGUUGUAUUUGUUUUACAUGGCCAAGAAUCAGAAUGUGGAUUAAAGAAAUGGUGUCAAACAUGUCAACGGUAAACAUAACACACACUGUCAGAUGUAAGCAACAUGUUUUUUGGAGACCUUUUAUGUGCUUUUCAAGACGUGACGUGAACAUUGGUACAAAGCUCCAGCAGGAAGAAGCCCUGAGGGAGAAGAAUAGCCUUAUAAUGUGGCAGACUGUCCUGAGAAACACCCUUUAAUUUAUUUCAUCUGAUUAUUAUUCAUAUUAUUUACUAGUAACUCUAUAAAUACAAUUCUUUGCUCUGAGAGACCACGCACCACAUCUGGUUGACAACAUCAUCUGUCAGUGUGAGCAGAGGAGGCCAGAGCUUUUAACCUGCCGCUGAUUACCUCAAUCUGCUGCAGGUGUGUGCGAUCAGCCAUCGCUCAGGCCACCGGAAAGCCACGGCCACCGACUCAGCACACAGCACCUC